rnacentral:rRNA from 1 species
GACAGAGGGUGCAAACGUUGUUCGGAUUUACUGGGCGUAAAGCGCGUGUAGGCGGCUUUGCAAGUCGGAUGUGAAAGCCCACGGCUCAACCGUGGAAGUGCAUCCGAAACUGCAUGGCUGGAGUCUCGGAGAGGAAGGUGGAAUGCUUGGUGUAGAGGUGAAAUUCGUAGAUAUCAAGCAGAACACCUGCGGCGAAGGCGGGUCUCUGGGCCGAUACUGACGCUGAGGAGCGAAAGCGUGGGGAGCGAACAGG